rnacentral:rRNA from 1 species
AUUGAACGCUGGCGGCAUGCCUUACACAUGCAAGUCGAACGUCAGCACGGGGGCAACCCUGGUGGCGAGUGGCGAACGGGUGAGUAACAUAUCGGAACAUACCCUAGAGUGGGGGAUAACGUAGCGAAAGUUACGCUAAUACCGCAUACGAUCUAAGGAUGAAAGUGGGGGAUCUUCGGACCUCAUGCUCAUGGAGUGGCCGAUAUCUGAUUAGCUAGUUGGUGAGGUAAAGGCUCACCAAGGCGACGAUCAGUAGCUGGUUUGAGAGAACGACCAGCCACACUGGAACUGAGACACGGUCCAGACUCCUACGGGAGGCAGCAGUGGGGAAUUUUGGGACAAUGGGGGCAACCCUGAUCCAGCAAUGCCGCGUGAGUGAAGAAGGCCUUCGGUUGUAAGUA